rnacentral:rRNA from 1 species
AGUGAACGCUGGCGGUAGGCCUAACACAUGCAAGUCGAACGGCAGCACAGUAAGAGCUUGCUCUUACGGGUGGCGAGUGGCGGACGGGUGAGGAAUACAUCGGAAUCUACUUUUUCGUGGGGGAUAACGUAGGUAAACUUACGCUAAUACCGCAUACGACCUACGGGUCAAAUCAGGGAAACUUCGUACCUUGCGCGAUUGAAUUAGUCGAUGUCGGAUUAGCUAGUUGGCUGGGUAAAGGCCCACCAAGGCGACGAUCCGUUGCUGGUCUGAUUGGAUGAUCAGCCACACUGGAACUGAGACACGUUCCAGACUCCUACGGGAGGCAGCAGUGGGGAAUAUUGGACAAUGGGCGCAAGCCUGAUCCAGCCAUACCGCGUGGGUGAAGAAGUCCUUCGGGUUGGAAAGCCCUUUUGUUGGGAAAGAAAAGCAGCAGGUUAAUACCCCGCUGUUCUGACGGUACCCAAAGAAUAAGCACCGGCUAACUUCGUG